rnacentral:rRNA from 1 species
UACGGGGGGGGCAAGCGUUGUUCGGAAUUACUGGGCGUAAAGGGCUCGUAGGUGGCCAACUAAGUCAGACGUGAAAUCCCUCGGCUUAACCGGGGAACUGCGUCUGAUACUGGAUGGCUUGAGUUCGGGAGAGGGAUGCAGAAUUCCAGGUGUAGCGGUGAAAUGCGUAGAUAUCUGGAGGAAUACCGGUGGCGAAGGCGGCAUCCUGGACCGGCAUUGACGCUGAGGCACGAAAGCGUGGGGAGCAAACAGG